GCGAUCACCGACGCUCACAGGGCAGCGAGAACUUCCAAUCCGCAGGUUGCAGGUUCUAGUCCUGCCGGCUCGUUCCA
rnacentral:tRNA from 1 species